AUUGAACGCUGGCGGCGUGCCUAAUACAUGCAAGUCGAGCGGACGAUUGAAGAGCUUGCUCUUUAAUCGUUAGCGGCGGACGGGUGAGUAACACGUGGGCAACCUGCCUUAACGACUGGGAUAACUCCGGGAAACCGGGGCUAAUACCGGAUAACAUCUAGCACUUCCUGGUGCAAGAUUAAAAGAGGGCCUUUGGCUCUCACGUUAAGAUGGGCCCGCGGCGCAUUAGCUAGUUGGAGAGGUAACGGCUCCCCAAGGCGACGAUGCGUAGCCGACCUGAGAGGGUGAUCGGCCACACUGGGACUGAGACACGGCCCAGACUCCUACGGGAGGCAGCAGUAGGGAAUCUUCCGCAAUGGACGAAAGUCUGACGGAGCAACGCCGCGUGAGUGAUGAAGGGUUUCGGCUCGUAAAGCUCUGUUAUGAGGGAAGAAUAAGUGCCAUUCAAAUAGGUUGACACCUUGACGGUACCUCAUCAGAAAGCCACGGCUAACUACGUGCCAGCCGCCGCAGCAAAAC
rnacentral:rRNA from 1 species